AGAGGUAUAGUCCAGUGGUACAGUACAUGCUUAGCAUGCAUGAGGUCCUGGGUUCAAUCCCCGGUACCUCUA
rnacentral:tRNA from 1 species